rnacentral:rRNA from 1 species
GAUGAACGCUGGCGGCAUGCCUAAUACAUGCAAGUCGAACGGACGGAAGAGAAAAGCUUGCUUUUUUUGGAAGUCAGUGGCGAACGGGUGAGUAACACGUAGGUAACCUGCCCAUGUGCCCGGGAUAAUUUCUGGAAACGGAAACUAAAACCGGAUAGGUAGGGAUCUCGCAUGAGGACCUUAUUAAAGGGGCUACGGCCCUGAACAUGGAUGGACCUGCGGUGCAUUAGCUGGUUGGUGGGGUAACGGCCUACCAAGGCGACGAUGCAUAGCCGACCUGAGAGGGCGAACGGCCACAUUGGGACUGAGACACGGCCCAAACUCCUACGGGAGGCAGCAGUAGGGAAUUUUCGUCAAUGGGGGGAACCCUGAACGAGCAAUGCCGCGCGAGUGAAGACGGUUUUCGGACUGUAAAGCUCUGUUGUAAGAGAAAAACGGCCGACAUAGGGAAUGAUGUCGGAGUGAUGGUAUCUUACCAGAAAGUCACGGCUAACUANCGUGCCAGCAGCCGCGGUAAUACGUAGGUGGCGAGCGUUAUCCGGAAUGGUUGGGCGUAAAGGGUGCGUAGGCGGUACGGUAAGUCUGUAGUAAAAGGCGGCAGCUCAACUGUCGUAGGCUAUGGAAACUGUCGAACUAGAGUGCAGAAGAGGGCGAUGGAACUCCAUGUGUAGCGGUAAAAUGCGUAGAUAUAUGGAAGAACACCAGUGGCGAAGGCGGUCGCCUGGUCUGUAACUGACGCUGAAGCACGAAAGCGUGGGGAGCAAAUAGGAUUAGAUACCCUAGUAGUCCACGCCGUAAACGAUGAGAACUAAGUGUUGGGGGAAUAACUCAGUGCUGCAGUUAACGCAAUAAGUUCUCCGCCUGGGGAGUAUGCACGCAAGUGUGAAACUCAAAGGAAUUGACGGGGGCCCGCACAAGCGGUGGAGUAUGUGGUUUAAUUCGAAGCAACGCGAAGAACCUUACCAGGCCUUGACAUCCCCGGCGAAGACAUGGAGACAUGUUGGAGGUUAACCGGGAGACAGGUGGUGCAUGGUUGUCGUCAGCUCGUGUCGUGAGAUGUUGGGUUAAGUCCCGCAACGAGCGCAACCCUUGUGAUAUGUUACUAACAGUAAGAUGAGGACUCAUAUCAGACUGCCGGUGACAAACCGGAGGAAGGUGGGGAUGACGUCAAAUCAUCAUGCCCCUUAUGGCCUGGGCUACACACGUACUACAAUGGCGGCUACAAAGAGCGGCGAACCCGCGAGGGGGAGCGAAUCUCAUAAAGGUCGUCUCAGUUCGGAUUGAAGUCUGCAACCCGACUUCAUGAAGUUGGAAUCGCUAGUAAUCGCGAAUCAGCAUGUCGCGGUGAAUACGUUCUCGGGCCUUGUACACACCGCCCGUCAAACCAUGGGAGUUGGUAAUACCCGAAGCCGGUGGCAUAACCGCAAGGAGUGAACCGUCGAAGGUAGGAUCGAUGACCUGGGGUUAAGUCGUAACAAGGUAUCCCUACGGGAACG